ensembl:lincRNA
GAGAGACUUCCUGUCAUUUCUAUUGGUUUCUGCAUGUGGGACCAAUAUGGGCAAUGCAAAGUUUAAACAGAUGCAAAUGAUGAGGGGAGGGGGCAAAGCCCUGCCUCGUUUUACAUAUUUCUCCACCUCCAGAUUGAGUUUAAGUCUCCCCUAGAAGCUUCCACAGCAGACUGCCACUAAGUUACAGCACGCUUGAAUGGGUUACUUCACCAAUAUUUGCUUAUGGAAAUAAAGGGGAGUGUCGGGGGUGGGGGAGGGGGAGGAGGGGAGGAGGGGUUUGCGACAGAGGGAGGCUCGACCACAGCACCAGUAACCUUGUCUGAUGUGAUCAUUAACCUUUCUGGAAAAAGCAGCUGGCCGUUGUCUGAGGCUCGUCAGUAGAAUGUGAGGGGAGCCUCACAGAUACCGCACAGACUAUUCAAGACUGGUUUACGUUGGGAGCUGUUGCUCUACUUCAGGGGGGCAAGAAAAUGAGUUUGCAACAAUUCCUUUUUGCCUUUCUGCUUUUCGUGAUGAGUCUUCUUCUUAUCAACGGACAGAGACCAGCUAAUUUGGCUGUGAGAAGAAAAUUGCACAGACACAACUGCCUUCAGAGGAGAUGUGUGCCUCUCCAUUCACGGGUGCCCUUCCCCUGAGAAUGGAUAAGAAAGAAUUAACACCAGCCUCUGUGGAUUCGAACUCUGACCACAAGCUGACUCACUGGUGGUCACUGUGUGGACCUUCUCUAGAUUAUCGUACCUGGUCUACCAGAAGAGGAAUGAAGGAAAGAUACCCACCCACACCAUAGUGUGAUUGCUUAGAAGUUCCUCUACAAAAAGGAAUCCUUUGAAAGCAUCUGGGAUGGUUUAUUAAUCUUACAGGAUUCUCUUCCCGGUUUCUCUUUAGAGGGGAAAAUAACAAAUUCAAAAGCAAUUCCAGUCUGAAGCACAAUUAUUUGCUUGUAUAUUAAAAAUCUCUCUUUUUCUGCACAUUACUAUUCCUAGAGGAGUUAAAAUAAAAACACUUUUUAAUGUCUUAGUACAAGAAUUAAAAUUUUUCUUUCAUAAUUCUGUAAUUCUCCACAAGUAUUAAAAUGUUUGUAUACGUUUGUAUAUGUUUGAGUGAUUUUUUUUUCAAAAAUGCUAAAUCUCUAAUCAAAUGCUUUGACCGUUUGGCUUUACAGAAUAAGGAUACAUUAAUUGGUUCAUUGAUUAUUUAUAUAGUGAAACUAAGAAAGAAGCUAUUAAUUGCUAUCAAUUUUAUAUUAUAGGUUUUAAUGUUUAUGAAAGUAUUUUUUUUAUUUUGAACAAUACCCAUAAAGUCAUAAAAGAAAGUUUGAAAUACUAAGAUGUUAAUUUCUGAAUCUGUCUCUCAUUAUGUAAUUACAAGAAGCCAGUGCUUUAUUUCCUUCCCAGUGUGAGGUCUUCCCAAGUUGUUAAAUACACUCUUAAUUUGUAUUUAUUAAAAGACUAAAGUUAGCUCAAUGCCAUAAAGUUUUUAUUUUACUGUAAGUAAAUUCCAGGUAUGAAAUUUAUGAAAUCUUGAUUAGAAAUUUUGCUUAUAAACAUUGUAGAGUGGAAGAAACAAUAAACCAUUAACCCUUAUUUUGAUAAAAUGGAACCUUGGGGGCACCUGGGUGGCUCAGUCUGUUAAGCCUCUGCCUUUGGCUUAGGUCAUGAUCUCAGGGUCCUGGGNNNNNNNNNNNNNNNNNNNNNNNNNNNNNNNNNNNNNNNNNNNNNN